rnacentral:sRNA from 1 species
UGAUGGAGAAUAUCGUAGUGGGAUGC